rnacentral:rRNA from 1 species
UCCCAAACUGGGAUUAGAUACCCCACUAUGCUUAGCCGUAAACACAAACAUUCCACAACAAAAAUAUUCGCCAGAGUACUACUAGCAACAGCUUAAAACUCAAAGGACUUGGCGGUGCUUUAAACCCACCUAGAGGAGCCUGUUCUAUAAAUCGAUGAACCCCGCUAAACCUCACCACUUCUCGCUAAACCAGUCUAUAUACCGCCAUCUUCAGCAAA